rnacentral:rRNA from 1 species
UGGGGAAUCUUGCGCAAUGGGCGAAAGCCUGACGCAGCGACGCCGCGUGGGGGAUGAAGCAUUUCGGUGUGUAAACCCCUUUCGACUGGGACGAAUGCCUCGCAAGAGGAGUGACGGUACCAGUAGAAGAAGCCCCGGCUAACUACGUGCCAGCAGCCGCGGUAAGACGUAGGGGGCCAGCGUUGUUCGGAAUUACUGGGUGUAAAGGGUUCGUAGGCGGUGUGGCAAGUUGGGAGUGAAAUCUCUGGGCUUAACCCAGAGGCUGCUUCCAAAACUGCUGUGCUUGAGUGUGGGAGAGGCGCGUGGAAUUGCAGGUGUAGCGGUGAAAUGCGUAGAUAUCUGCAGGAACACCCGUGGCGAAAGCGGCGCGCUGGACCACAACUGACGCUGAGGAACGAAAGCUAGGGGAGCAAACAGGAUUAGAUACCCUGGUAGUCCUAGCCCUAAACGAUCAGGACUUGGGGUGCCACCCGUUCGGGUGUCGUCCCGGAGCUAACGCGUUAAGUCCUGCACCUGGGGAGUACGGUCGCAAGACUG